CGCCCAUGAUUUGGGGUUCCUGUCGCAGGAGAAAGUGGAGUCCAGGCUUCUGAAACACGUUAGGAGUUACCAUCGCUCUGCCCAGACCAACACUUGUCCCAAUGGUUUUAGGAUUAAAACUCAUAAACCAAAGAUUCUUACGGCGUAGCUUCCGGAGCAGCAGCAGCAGCACCGGGGAACUUGCUAGGAAUUCUGAUUCUCUACCCCACCCUGGGAGCGAGAGGGAUUCCGCAAGUCUGUGCUUUAUUUAACAAAGCUGUUAAACACCGUGAGAACCACUGACCCAAGCUAACCUGGACAGGAGUGUCUAAGAGUCAAGCAUCGUUAGAUGUUCCUUGUUUCGAAAAAUUAUUUGAAGUGCUAAUAAAUGUGAUUCCUUGACACUUUCUCGUGAUUGAAGGCAGCGAACUGUUCAGUUAUGGUAAGAUUUCCUGACUCUGCUAGAGUUUCAGAAAAUUGAAUUUUCUAAGCUUCCAUUUACUUAUAUAUAAAGCAAUGGAAAUAAUACCACACAGAGUUGCCUGCUGGAAUAAAUGAGGUAUUUUAUGGAAAGUACUUAAUACAGUUCCUAGCAAAAUGCUCGUUAGUAUUUAGCACUAGUUAUUCUGAACAUAAAAAUAUCCUAGGAUCCCUCUUCUUUUUCACAGGACUCAGAAGGCUUUGUUUGUUUGUUUGUUAAUUUUGAGAGAGCGCUUGAGCAGGAGAGAGGCAGAGAAAGAGAGAGCGAGAAAAUCCUAAGCAGGCUCCAGACUGUCAGCGUGGACCCAGUCCCAGAGUUCUGUCCCACGUACUGGGAGAUUAUGACCUGAGCUGAAAUCAACAGUCCCACACCUUACCAACCAAGCCACCCAAGCCGUGAUUCAGAAUUUUUGGUAUGUAUAAUGUAAGGCAAAGGCCAUUACUUACUGGUGUUCCAUUUAGUGAAUGCACACUCAAAGUAUGUAUGGUUUUUAUAGCUUUCAUAGUAUAAAGUGUGUGUCUCUCACACACACAGACACACAUACAUUCACACACAAAGGCAGCAAUUCAGUAAGUGGAAUCAUUUGAGAUUGCAUUUUAGAACAUCUGUGAUAAAUGACUUCUCGAGUAAGCAUGAAACAUCUCAUUGAAAAUGCCAAGGCUUUUGGCAUCUAUAGCAACUAUAAAUGUUGCUAUUUGAUAUUUUAUUUCGCAGAAAUUGUACUUUUUUUAAAGAGAAAAGUAUGUAUGUAUGUAUGUAUUUUAAUGUUUUAUUUAUUUUUGAGACAGAGACAGAGCUCGAGUGGGGGACAGGCAGAGAGAGAGGGAGACACAGAGUCCCAAGUAGGCUCAGGCUCUGAGCUGUCAGUCCAGAGCGGACGCGAGGCUGGAACCCACCAACCUAAGCUGAAGUCGAAGGCUUUACCGACUGAGCCACCCAGGUGCCCCUACCUAAAAAUAUUUUAUGAAACCAUGUAUAUACUUUCACACAUUUUGAUGUUGACAUCUAAAAUUUUUAUCUUGACUUAAAAGGAUUAAAUUUUCAGUGUAUUGUAAAUAUUCACAUUUGAAAUUAUUGUAUCUCUUUAAAUGUAUGAAAAGGAAUUUAAAUACCAUAGUGAUGUGAUGACUAUCACCGAGCAUUUAUUUUUAUUUUUUAUUUAUUUUUAAAUUUACAUCCAAGUUAGUUAGCAUGUAGUGCAAUAAUGAUUUCUGGAAUAGAUUCCAGUGAUUCAUCCCCUAUGUAUAGCACCCAGUGCUCAUCCCACCAAGUCUCCUCCUUAAUGCCCCUUCCCCAUUUAGCCCAUCCCCCCCCAAACACAACCCUUCCAGCAACCCUCAGUUUGUUCUCUGUAUGUAAGAGUCUCUUAGUUUUGUCCCCCUCCGUUUUUAUAUUAAUUUUGUCUCCCUUCCCUUAUGUUCAUCUGUUUUGUAUCUUAAAAAAAUUUUUUUAAUCUUUAUUUAUUUUUGAGAGAGAGCAUAUGAGCAGGGGAGGAGCAGAGAGAGAGGCAGACACAGAAUCCGAAGCAGGCUCCAGGCUCCGAGCUGUCAGCACAGAGUCUGAUGCGGGGCUCGAGCCCACGAACGGUGAGAUCAUGACCUGAACCAAAGUCGGACACUGAACUGAC
rnacentral:lncRNA from 1 species